GCUGGCGGCAUGCUUACACAUGCAAGUCGAACGGUAGAGUAGCAAUACUCGAGAGUGGCGAACGGGUGAGUAAUAUAUCGGAACGUGCCCAGUCGUGGGGGAUAACGUAGAGAAAUUUACGCUAAUACCGCAUACGAUCUACGGAUGAAAGCGGGGGAUUCGCAAGAACCUCGCGCGAUUGGAGCGGCUGAUAUCAGAUUAGGUUGUUGGUGAGGUAAAAGCUCACCAAGCCGACGAUCUGUAGCUGGUUUGAGAGAACGACCAGCCACACUGGGACUGAGACACGGCCCAGACUCCUACGGGAGGCAGCAGUGGGGAAUUUUGGACAAUGGGCGAAAGCCUGAUCCAGCAAUGCCGCGUGCAGGAAGAAGGCCUUCGGGUUGUAAACUGCUUUUGUACGGAACGAAACGGUUCGCUUUAAUACAGUGGGCUAAUGACGGUACCGUAAGAAUAAGCACCGGCUAACUACGUGCCAGCAGCCGCGGUAAUACGUAGGGUGCGAGCGUUAAUCGGAAUUACUGGGCGUAAAGCGUGCGCAGGCGGUUAUAUAAGACAGUUGUGAAAUCCCCGGGCUCAAACUGGGAAUUGCAUUUGUGACUGUAUAGCUAGAGUACGGUAGAGGGGGAUGGAAUUCCGAGUGUAGCAG
rnacentral:rRNA from 1 species